UUCUUAUCCAGAGUGGUAGAGGGACAGGCCCUAUGAAACCCGGCAACCAUCAAGUCAAAUUUUGACUUGAACGGUGCUAAUUCCUGCAAAGGUAUUAACCUUUGAAAGAUGAGAG
rfam:Anaerobacillus alkalilacustris strain DSM 18345 Ga0137925_130, whole genome shotgun sequence.